UAUGAAGUGCCCGAGUCUCCGGCGAAGAAGCCGGAGUCGACGUCAGAGGAGUCGGAGGAAGAUGAUGACGAUUCUUACGGGGAUGGUCUCCACGAGAUGACCGACCAAGAGCGGGCCAUGUACGCGGAAGCUGUUCGUCGGAGCGAUGGAUUUGAUGUUCCUCCGUUACCCAAUGUUUUCGCUAUCGGUAUCAUCCAACCGGUUGGCAGCGAUUGGCCCGCUGAGGAUAUUCGUGAAAUCGCCGACUUCGCCAUGGAGGACCAAAACGAGAAGAGAAAGAAAGAGGGUGGCAAUGAACUCCGGCUCAAGGAAGUCAUCAAGUGUAACGCGAGGGCUCCUUGGUGAAGGCUCGUUGCGGAAAGCAGAAAGACGAGGUUCAUAUCUUUAGGAAGAAAAACAAACCGGCUAUUAUUAAUGCACCAGCGUCCACAGAGGAAAUGAAGUUUACAAGAAGAAAGGCCGUAAGGGAGUGAGCUAAGAAAGAAAUUACUAAGGGUUAUCAUGUCAGUGUAAAUAAAAAAAUGGGCUUCCAACUAGAGAAUGGGCUAACAUAUUUACUUCAUAUCUUGGAUGAUUAGCACGAAGGAGUGAUGAUGUCAUCGGAACACCAGUUGUAGGAAUGGAUCAGCCACCAAUGAUGGGGAUGAGGAUACGACGAGGAUGAAGAUCUCAAUUAGUGAGUUUUAUCAUUUUGUAUCUUGGACAUACUUGUAUGGGAGAUAUAUACUUCUGCAUCUCGACUAUUUGUAGUACUUUAUAUAUCCUAGAUUUGUUUGUGGGGAUUGUGACAUGUUUGUUGGAUUUUGUAAAAUUUUAUAUCCUAGACUUGUUUGUGGGUACUAUGAUUAUGUUCCUAUUGUAGG